AGUAAGGAACGUGGAGGAGUGUGAUCACCUUCCUUCAGGGCUCAGCCAGGCUCCAGAGCUGGGCAGAGUGGUGUGUAAGGCUUCAUUCCCUGCUUCUUUGUCAGCCCUCAGCAACAGCAGCAGGGCUGGGGUGGUCCCAGGGCUUGCUUGGAAGGCUGCCCAAGAUGAGGCUCUGAAGAAGGAUGGAGAGGCCUUUGCAUGACCCCACCAAAAUCUCUCAUUAUCCUUCAGGGGUGGGCAAGCACCUAUACCGAUAAACAUUUGACUAAUGGACAAGCCUCCACAUCAUAAACAUUGCCUCCCCGUUUGCACUAAUUGUCCUCCUUGUCACUGCUCUUCGUGGAGUGACAAAUGAUUUGGUUUUAAUGGAGAUCAAAUUCCCCUGUCGCUCUUAAGUAAUCCCUUUAAGCCAAGGAUGAGUCAUGGGGAUAGGACAGAGCAUGUGGGGAGAGGAUAUCAAAAGAGUUGUUCCCUCCAUACCUGAGUCAUCAAUAACAGCGGUCCCAGACCAAUUUUCCCUGCAGGUGUGUUUUCUCAGGCAAAGCCUCAUUGUUUCCUGUAGCACAAGCAAUAUUUAUCCUUCCCCAUGCUGCAAGACCAAGCGAACGCCUGAUGGAACUAAUAAACAACUCAUUUAAAACUGGUGCACGAGCAUGCUUGGGCAACACCAAGACAACUCAGGGCUAGAGGGUUGUUUUCUAGUGAAAACUUGGUAAGGAUUGAAAGCAAUAGGAUGGACGUCCAGUUUGUUGUGUGAGACGUUCAAUGGAUUAGAGGUUGGCCAGCAACGUUGGCCAUUGCUGUAGACAUGGAAGCAAGCGUGGACAGUCCCAAAACGUGAGGACUCAUUUGUGUGAUAGAUGUCUCAAAAUGAAACGGUAGCUUUUGGAAUUGAAUUUGAAAGGAAGAAAUACCGAGUUCCCCAAGUCCUCAGCCUAGGCUACUAAACGUGCUGUAUGUGAAGGGAAGGCUGCUGCUUGCUCCAUUUAGGAAGCGGCGUACUGCUAGAAGGAAGGCCUCCAUUAUCUCAGGCGUUCCUGCAGCACUUCAGAAGUGUUUAUGGAAAACCUGCAUUUACCAGGGGCUGCUGAGCAUCUCACUUACAAACUUCAGAUCUAUAGAAAGAGGGAAACAUAGGAGAUAUGUGACACCGAGAGCGGAAGAAUGGGAAGCGCUGAGCUCAGGCUCUCAUGAUAGCAAGGAAUUUCUUUGGAUAAAAGGAAAAAAGAAAGACUACUGUGAUUACUGUUAGCGUGAUCUGGAAGGAAAACUCCUCCUCAACAGCAAAUAUGUCAAUUUGGGUAUAAGCUAUGGAGCAAGAGAUGGCAGGUGGGCAGCUUGAGGCCAUGCGGAGCUGGUCCAGAUUUAUGGAACCUCAGUGCUGUGGUUUGCUGUGACCCAACUCCAGCUCUUCAAGGACAGCAAUUAAAAAUCCAUCCAGGCACUGCCAAGCAGGGAACCUUUCUGCUGCUCGUCUGCAGAGACCAGCAGAGGAGCCACCAUAUUCAGUGUUAAUGCAAUAUUAACAUGGUAAAAGCGUGUUAGCCCAAGCUUUUGUCCAACAGGAAAUGAUUG
ensembl:lncRNA